rnacentral:rRNA from 1 species
GACGAACGCUGGCGGCGUGCUUAACACAUGCAAGUCGAACGGAAAGGCCCUGCUUGCAGGGUACUCGAGUGGCGAACGGGUGAGUAACACGUGGGUGAUCUGCCCUGCACUUCGGGAUAAGCCUGGGAAACUGGGUCUAAUACCGGAUAGGAGCCAUUUUUAGUGUGAUGGUUGGAAAGUUUUUUCGGUGUAGGAUGAGCUCGCGGCCUAUCAGCUUGUUGGUGGGGUAAUGGCCUACCAAGGCGGCGACGGGUAGCCGGCCUGAGAGGGUGGACGGCCACAUUGGGACUGAGAUACGGCCCAGUCUCCUACGGGAGGCAGCAGUGGGGAAUAUUGCACAAUGGGCGCAAGCCUGAUGCAGCGACGCCGCGUGGGGGAUGACGGCCUUCGGGUUGUAAACUCCUUUCGCUAGGGACGAAGCUUUUUGUGACGGUACCUAGAUAAGAAGCACCGGCUAACUACGUG